rnacentral:lncRNA from 1 species
ACUAUAGUGCCCCCACCCUCAGGGUCCCCCUCCCGCCCGGCUCUGGAAAGGGGUUAAAACUUACCUUUUUCCGGCACUGGGCGGAGAGCUCUCCUCCUCCGAUCCUCCUCUUCUCCUCCCCGUCAGCUGAAUGCGCACGCGCGGCAAGAGCUGCGCGCGCAUUCAGCCAGUCACAGCGGAAAGCAUUCAUAAUGCUUUCCUAUGGACGCUGGCGUGCUCUCACUGUGAAAAUCACAGUGAGAAGCACGCAAGCGCCUCUAGCGGCUGUCAAUGAGACAGCCACUAGAGGAAAUAGGGGAAGGCUUAACCCAUUCAUAAACAUAGCAGUUUCUCCGAAACUGCUAUGUUUAUGAAAAAAUGGGUUAACCCAACCUGGACCAGGCACCCAGACCACUUCAUUAAGCUGAAGUGGUCUGGGUGCCUAGAGUGGUCCUUUAAUUCUGAAUUGAAUUUACCAAAGCUUUAUUUUAUAACAUAGCAAUUUCCAUACAUUGUUGUAAUUGGCAAAGCUACACAUUUAACAAUAAAGUAGAGCAUCCCACUACCUCACUAUUUACUAUACCAAUAAACAACUAGAAGGGCAUAAACUCUAUAUGCCUCAACUAUUAUGACUAGGAGAUUAGAUGCACCUUCAUGCCUGUCUUGUGAGUGUUGUAACAGUUCUUCCAAUGUGUUUUAGCUAGACCUUACUUCCCCCAAAAAUAGAACAUGAGUGCUCUUCUUAAAAAUUGUGAGCACCGUAUGGAGUGGCAGAUAUAUUCCACACAUUCAUUUCUAUAAACCCAAAUCAUUCCACACACCCCUCCCCUCCCCCAAAUUAAAAAAAAAAUUAUAUAUAUAUAUAUACACACACACUUUUCUAAAGAGUGAUGUUUGUAAAAGAGACUCUAGAAUUUUAAGAAAUGUCUGUUUUUUUCUGAUGUUUAAUCCUGAUGUGAUUUAAUGUCUAGAAAAAAAACACCAGGAUAAAUCACAAAUCAAUUAAACAAAAAUGGACAUUGCAUUUCAUAAAAUUACAAAAAUUAAAAAGAACAAAUAAUUCACAUUCAGGGUAUUUGUAAUGCCAAAUAUUAAAAUAAGAGUAUUUUGUUCAACAAAGCAGAUUGCAUAAAUAAUGAUGUUUUGUUAGGUCAGUGCAUUCUGUCCCUUAAAUGUGGCUAGCUGAGCAUCAUGGUGAAUGUAGUGCACAAACAUUUGCAGCACAUUGGUUAGCCAUCCCUAUUUAGGCACAACAUAAUUAAAUGACACUUCAUGCAUUUUCUGUCCAUCAAAUCCCUAACAAAAAAGGUCUGGAGUCUAUAUCCCCCAACUCUCCUGGAUUCAAUGUGAAAGUCCUGAUAUCACAAAAAAAAUCCCCCAAAAAGCACAGCAUGUUCACAUCAUUAAAUGUGCUCACAAUGUGCAAAAAUAAACUCAGGGCUUUUCUGCUCUGCACACAACCAAUCAUAAGGACCUGUCACUAUGUGCAUUACCUCUAACUCCUUUUACUGUCCUGUCCCUUCCUUGGUCGCUUACAAACCACCUUUAGUUGGAUCGGAAGGGAAUGUAUUUACUGCACACAUUAUUAUGGACUACAACAGCACUUACAUAUAAUGUGUACGUUUGCUGACAUAGUUAUGUUUUAAAUAGGCAUCAUUCAUUUAAUAUUUAUAUAAUUAUAUAUAAAUAAAUAUAUAUAGAUAACUUUGACGAAGCUUAGCUUUGGACACUCUGAAAGAAUAAAAAGACAGCAACAUAAUAGACAUUAAAUUCCAUUGUAAAAUAUUCAGGAGGCCUGUGAGGUCCAAACUUGUUCAGUUUUUGUCUUAUACGCAACAUAGAAUUCUGCAUGUACUAACUUGGAAUCACAGCCAAGUUAUUGCAUAUAUACAGUAUUUUUUGUUAAAAACUGUUCAAAGUUAAACAUGAAUAGCCUGUUCAGAAUCCUCUGGUUGCACAGUAAGUCAUUUUAGUUGAUUCUUUUCACUAAACCGUGAGCUGAGGCUAUUUGUAAAUUUUAGUUACAACUGAAGGACAUAGGUGAAGUGUUUUGUUAGUCACACUAUAUAUAGAUUAAAGGACCACUAUAGUCACCCAGACCACUCCAGCUCAAUGAAGUGGUCUGGGUGCCAGGUCCCCCGGGUUUCAACCCUUCACAUGUAAACAUAGCAGUUUUAGAGAAACUGCUAUGUUUACAUUUCAGGGUUAAUCCAGUAUUCACCCCUUCAGCCCAGCGGGAGGGGGGCCCUAAGGGUGGGGUGGGGUGGGGGGCAACCUAAGGAUUAUAUAGUGUCAGGAAAACAGGUUUGUCAUUUUUUUGUGUGCAAAUUUACACAGUUCAUCCAUCUCCCCAAAAAUACAUUGUAUGCCUACAGUGUUAGUAAAAUGUAAUGACUUUCUUGUCAUUUCAUUAUGUGGCAAAAUGUUAAAAACAGCAAGGUACAUGAAGUUUAUUUAUUAAUAAAUAAAUGACAAUAAUAAAAAAGAAAUUGGGUGGUUUUAAUUUUAAUUUCCAUUGACUCACAUUUAAAAGAGAUACCUUCAUUCAUGAACAAAUGAUGAAUGAAGCCAUGUGCAAGAAGCUACGCCAUAGUAGUUUUCAUGAAUAAAGCUAACUGUGCCCACUGCAUGUUGCACAACCAGUGUCAGUUAGCUUCGUUCAUGAAAAAAAAUAAUAAAACGAUUUGUCUGCUACACCUGUCACCUUGCACAAAUAUCUUACUUUGUGUUCUAAGCUAAUUGUGGGCUUUAUAGGUCUCAGGAAGAUGAUGAUAGCCUAUUAAGUACUACGCAGCUUAUUUACAAAGCAGCCAUAGAAAGCAAUGGGAGCACCAGGAUUGACUGACGGAUUAUUCACUAACGUGAAAAUUCUAAUUAUUGUUUAUUAACACAUUUAGAAAGUGGAGUAAACACCAGAAUAGAGUGUCUUUUUACGGACUUCCUUCCAAGGGCUAAUGCAAAUCUGUUCUAUUCUGACAGUCCUCGCUAUAACUUUGUCACAAAGAUGACUCUGUUACAUGUAAUAUGUCACAUUAUAACACUUCUGUGGCCAGCCUGAUGAAUGUUUUUUUUGGAAAACUAAGCUAUACAUUUCGAGCAGUUUCAAUAGCACAAUAGAUACAUUUAUUUGCAACUUAAAGUAAAAGUUCCAUCAUGCUCUGUAUGUGGAAUCCCUUUAAACCCACAGUAUAGAGUUACUACUAAAGGCUAAUAGUUUUUUGUUAUAAGGGCUAAUCAUUCGUUCUUUUAACUAGACAUUACUCAUUCCCUGAUAAUGUCCCUUUAAAUAUGCAGCUGUUGUCAAUGUAAAAAAUAUAAUAUACGGUAAACCAAGACACAGACCCAGUUCAAAAUGGCCCUUUACCCGUUUUCCCAGACAGCCAUAGGUUCCUGUGUUGUUUGGACUAUAAGUUUAGAUGUCAGAGGCAUAUAAAAGUUACAUUCUGAUGCACAAAAUCAAUUAAUCAUGGAAGGGCUCCAUUAGGAACCUUCAUGAUUAUUGUGUGAUUUCUUAUUUGAACUCCCGUGGCAAUAUAAGAAUUCUAUAUACCUUACAGACAGCACUAUUCAUGUACCUCCCAACAACAUGUGGAACUGGAAGCUGCUUAGAGGAAAAUAUGGCCAAUGACCAUGGUGGCAACUAGUCUAGCCUUGAUAAAAAGCUGCAAUGUCAGAGAUUAUAUAACAUGUUAAAGGGGCCUAUACCAACAUUGUGAGUACCCUUUUGUAUUGAGCAAUAAAUUCACUUUAAAAUAAACAAACAUACAUGUAAAAGGAGAAGCAGAGCCGGUCAGUUAAUUUUUAACGUGUAAAACGUAGUAUUUUUCCAAGGGAAAACCCUCUUUGUACUCAUACGAUGUACCUCCAUGAUAUUAAAUCAUUGUUUACACUUGUUUUGUUCCGUGAGAGCAUGGAUAUUUUAUUCACAUAGGCUACUCCUUAGAUGCAACCUUCCGCCACUGAUAUAAAUUUCCGUAUUUUUCAAUUUAUUCAAUGAGAUGGGAGUACAUUUGUUUUAUCAAUUUUUUUUUUUCCGGUGAGAAUACUAUGAAAUUCCAGCAAGCAACAGCCUACAACAGAGAUAUAUUUUCCUAUUUAGUGAUAAUUCCCCCCUAUAAAAAAAAAAAUAUUAAAAAAAAGCAAAACAAAAAAAUAAACAAAACACACAAACGCCAGCAAAUCCGUGUUUAAUACACCAAGUCUAAUAUUUUUUACAAGGAAAAGUGAAGUCUAGUGGACUGUUUCCUGUAUGCAAUAUAUUCUAUGCAACUCUGUUAUAAUGUUCUCGUCUCUCCUUCUUCCGAUAUAAAAUGAAAAAAAAACGAAACCCCGUAACAAACAGAAAUCCUUUUCGCGCAAAUGAGCAGUUCUUGUUUCAUGUGCAUGUUUAAUAUGACUACCUGGCCAGAUUGAUUCCGUGCUUGCAAACAUAUUACUGGCUGCCUCUGUAUCUAACUCUUUAUUUUUUUAACUGUUUUGUUUUUUUUUCCCUCGAUUAUCAUUGUGAAUGAAAUUGAAGACUGAGUUGAUGAAAAAAAAAAACAAAGAUAAAUUAUAUUAAAGAGUUAAUUUAUUUCCCUUCA